rnacentral:rRNA from 1 species
AGUGAACGCUGGCGGUAGGCCUAACACAUGCAAGUCGAACGGCAGCACAGUAAGAGCUUGCUCUUACGGGUGGCGAGUGGCGGACGGGUGAGGAAUACAUCGGAAUCUACUUUUUCGUGGGGGAUAACGUAGGGAAACUUACGCUAAUACCGCAUACGACCUACGGGUGAAAGCAGGGGAUCUUCGGACCUUGCGCGAUUGAAUGAGCCGAUGUCGGAUUAGCUAGUUGGCGGGGUAAAGGCCCACCAAGGCGACGAUCCGUAGCUGGUCUGAGAGGAUGAUCAGCCACACUGGAACUGAGACACGGUCCAGACUCCUACGGGAGGCAGCGGUGGGGAAUAUUGGACAAUGGGCGAAGGCCUGAUCCAGCCAUACCGCGUGGGUGAAGAAGGCCUUCGGGUUGUAAAGCCCUUUUGUUGGGAAAGAAAAGCAGCAGGUUAAUACCCCGCUGUUCUGACGGUACCCAAAGAAUAAGCACCGGCUAACUUCGUG